UUAAUUAAUUCUUCCAGUAAAGCAAAGUAGAACUCGUUUGUUUCGAACCAUUUCCAUCGGUGGCUUGAUUACCCAACAUUUUCCGGCAACACUCCCUUCAAGUUGGAAGGAAAACACUGCAGAUUAUUAACACUCACAUCUAAGUUACUCCGGCAUCUAUUUUCCGGCCAGCUUCAAAAUCCGUCGGUCUGUCUCCGCACGUCUCAAUAUUUUCUGCCGUGAAUUCAUCUGCUGAUAUCUUUUCCGGCGAAGUCGAGUUGUCGCAAUGUUUUGUACAAAGGCGAUAAAUUGAUUUUAGGCCUUUCACAGUCUUUAUGGAGUUAUAGCACAACUUGUUGACCAAAGUAAUUUAUGGAAUGAUCGUGGAACUGGAAUCUCAAGGUGAUUUGACCAGUUGAAACAAUUUUUGGACUUCCAUUUUGCAACGGUUAAAUAAUGGAAAGAAGACAUCAGGUUUUCUCUGUAGAUCUUCUUGAAAGAUAUGCCACAAAAGGCCGUGGAGCCAUUACAUGCAUGGCGACUGGCAAUGAUGUCAUCGUUCUGGGAACUAGCAAAGGCUGGGUAAUCAGGCAUGACUUUGGAGUGGGCGAUUCUU